rnacentral:rRNA from 1 species
UACGUAGGAGGCAAGCGUUGUCCGGAGUUACUGGGCGUAAAGCGCACGCAGGCGGUCUUGUCAGUCUGUAGGGACAGGGCACAGCUUAACUGUGUCAGGCUUAUGGAAACUGCAAGACUUGAGGGCUUCAGAGGGAUGGGGAAUUCCGGGUGGAGUGGUGAAAUGCGUAGAGAUCCGGAAGAACACCAAAGGCGAAGGCACCAUCCUGGGGAGUCACUGGCGCUCGGGUGCGAAAGCGUGGGGAGCGAUCCGG